rnacentral:rRNA from 1 species
GGAGGCAGCAGUGGGGAAUCUUAGACAAUGGGGGAAACCCUGAUCUAGCCAUGCCGCGUGAGUGACGAAGGCCCUAGGGUCGUAAAGCUCUUUCAGCUGUGAAGAUAAUGACGGUAGCAGCAGAAGAAACCCCGGCUAACUCCGUGCCAGCAGCCGCGGUAAUACGGAGGGGGUUAGCGUUGUUCGGAAUUACUGGGCGUAAAGCGCGCGUAGGCGGAUUAGUCAGUCAGAGGUGAAAUCCCAGGGCUCAACCCUGGAACUGCCUUUGAUACUGCUAGUCUCGAGUUC